rnacentral:tRNA from 1 species
GUCCGUGAAGCGCAAUGGAUACCGCGUUGGACUUCUAAUCCAAAGGUCGUGGGUUCGAAUCCUACUUGGAUG